rnacentral:rRNA from 1 species
GACGUAGGGGACGAGCGUUGUCCGGAUUCAUUGGGCGUAAAGCGCGCGUAGGCGGCUACUUAAGUCGGAUGUGAAAGCCCCUGGCUCAACUGGGGAAGUGCACCCGAAACUGAGCAGCUAGAGUACGAAAGAGGGUCGCGGAAUUCCCGGUGUAGAGGUGAAAUUCGUAGAUAUCGGGAGGAACACCGGUGGCGAAGGCGGGUCUCUGGGCCGAUACUGACGCUGAGGAGCGAAAGCGUGGGAGCGAACAGG